rnacentral:sRNA from 1 species
GACGCGGCAGACAGCCGUACAAUAUGAAA